rnacentral:lncRNA from 1 species
GCACGCACACACACACACUCACUCCACGCUCGGCCAGCACAACAAGCAAGUUCAGUUCAGGUUGGGGGAUCGAUCGGAUAAUGGCGCCGGCGCCGGUGGAGUUCGUGGGCGCGAGGGAGGCAGGCGGGGUCGGCGGGGACGCGCUCUACUGCGCCAUCAUCCUGUGGCUGUCCGUCAUGUCGUGGAUCAUCUUCACCUGCGUCGGCGGCGACGACGGCGGGAGGCGCGGGAGGAAGGGCCGCCGGGACACCAAGGUCUUCGUCGGCGCCGAGCGACUCUGCGACGGCACCGGCC